rnacentral:lncRNA from 1 species
CUUUAUGAGGUGCAACCAAAACAGCUGUUUGACAUAGCAACAGGGAUAUUCGGUCAAGGUGUCUCUCUAGCAUUUGUUCUUAAUACCGUUGUGGUUUUGAUCACUAAAAUGGCUGUGACUUUUGGACUCUCGUUGAGGUAAUUCUAAUGGGCAUCAUGCCUACACUGGACCUGAACCAACUGGAUCCUAUGCCAAAGCAAGUGUGGUGCCUAGUCCAAAUGCUAAAGCUACUGGCCACAAUGCCACGUCAGCAGAAGCUACUGGCCACAAUGCCACGUCAGCAGAAGCUACUGGCCACAAUGCCACGUCAGCAGAAGCUACUGGCCACAAUGCCACGUCAGCAGAAGCUACUGGCCACAAUGCCACGUCAGCAGAAGCUACUGGCCACAAUGCCACGUCAGCAGAAGCUACUGGCCACAAUGCCACGUCAGCAGAAGCUACUGGCCACAAUGCCACGUCAGCAGAAUCUACUGGCCACAAUGCCCCGUCAAGUGUGAAGUCCGGCCCCGGCGCCUCAGCAGAAGCGUCCGGCGCCUCAGCAGAAGCGUCCGGCGCCUCAGCAGAGCGCCCGGCGCCUCAGCAGAAGCGUCCGGCGCCUCAGCAGAAGCGUCCGGCGCCUCAGCAGAAGCGUCCGGCGCCUCAGCAGAAGCCUCAGGAGAAGCGUCCGGCGCCUCAGCAGAAGCCUCAGGAGAAGCG